AAGAAGAUAUGAAGAGCUGGGAUGUUGACCUAGCCUCUCCUUGGCUUUGUCUGUAUCUUACGAUGUUUCAGACAUAGCCUGAUAGAGGUUACGUUUUGUCCCGUUUACUUCUACAAUAGAAGA
rnacentral:pre_miRNA from 12 species